rnacentral:rRNA from 1 species
GGGCGACCCUGCCUUCGGGCGGGGGCUCCGGGUGGACACUUCAAACUCUUGCGUAACUUUGCAGUCUGAGUAAACCCACCUAAUAAAUUAAAACUUUUAACAACGGAUCUCUUGGUUCUGGCAUCGAUGAAGAACGCAGCGAAAUGCGAUAAGUAAUGUGAAUUGCAGAAUUCAGUGAAUCAUCGAAUCUUUGAACGCACAUUGCGCCCCCUGGUAUUCCGGGGGGCAUGCCUGUUCGAGCGUCAUUUCACCACUCAAGCCUCGCUUGGUAUUGGGCAACGCGGUCCGCCGCGUGCCUCAAAUCGACCGGCUGGGUCUUCUGUCCCCUAAGCGUUGUGGAAACUAUUCGCUAAAGGGUGCUCGGGAGGCUACGCCGUAAAACAAACCCAUUUCUAAGGUUGACCUCGGAUCAGGUAGGGAUACCCGCUGAACUUAAGCAUAUCAAUAAGCGGAGGAA